AAGUCCAGCCGUUCAGCAGAUGACCACAGAGAGGAGAGGACCACACGUGAACCACCUGAAUCAAUUGAAUCACUUGAACCAUUUGAAUCACUUGAACCAUUUGAAUCAAUUGAACCAUCUGAAGCCUCUCUACUCGCCCCCAGCACAGCAGACACAGAUGACAUUGACAGAACAUUUGGGAAACUAUGAGACACCAAACUGCAGCAGGUUGAUGUGUUCUGUGUGUCAGAGGGACUUUAAGAGUCUUCCUGCUCUUAACGGACACAUGCGCUCUCACAGAGGACUCCGAGGACAGCCCGGCAGGCC